AGAGUUUGAUCAUGGCUCAGGACGAACGCUGGCGGCGUGCUUAACACAUGCAAGUCGAACGGAAAGGCCCUGCUUUUGUGGGGUGCUCGAGUGGCGAACGGGUGAGUAACACGUGAGUAACCUGCCCUUGACUUUGGGAUAACUUCAGGAAACUGGGGCUAAUACCGGAUAGGAGCUCCUGCUGCAUGGUGGGGGUUGGAAAGUUUCGGCGGUUGGGGAUGGACUCGCGGCUUAUCAGCUUGUUGGUGGGGUAGUGGCUUACCAAGGCUUUGACGGGUAGCCGGCCUGAGAGGGUGACCGGCCACAUUGGGACUGAGAUACGGCCCAGACUCCUACGGGAGGCAGCAGUGGGGAAUAUUGCACAAUGGGCGGAAGCCUGAUGCAGCAACGCCGCGUGCGGGAUGACGGCCUUCGGGUUGUAAACCGCUUUCGCCUGUGACGAAGCGUGAGUGACGGUAAUGGGGUAAAGAAGCACCGGCUAACUACGUGCCAGCAGCCGCGGUGAUACGUAGGGGUGCGAGCGUUGUCCGGAUUUAUUGGGCGUAAAGGGCUCGUAGGUGGUUGAUCGCGUCGGAAGUGUAAUCUUGGGGGCUUAACCCUGAGCGUGCUUUCGAUACGGGUUGACUUGAGGAAGGUAGGGGAGAAUGGUAUUCCUGGUGGAGCGGUGGAAUGCGCAGAUAUCAGGAGGAACACCAGUGGCGAAGGCGGUUCUCUGGGCCUUUCCUGACGCUGAGGAGCGAAAGCGUGUGGAGCGAACAGGCUUAUAUACCCUGGUAGUCCACGCUGUAAACGGUGGGUACUAGGUGUGGGGUCCAUUCCACGGGUUCCGCGCCGUAACUAAC
rnacentral:rRNA from 1 species